UACGGAGGAUGCGAGCGUUAUCCGGGUUUAUUGGGUUUAAAGGGUGCGUAGGCGGGCUUUUAAGUCAGCGGUAAAAAUUCGGGGCUCAACCCCGUCCGGCCGUUGAAACUGGGGGUCUUGAGUGGGCGAGAAGAAGGCGGAAUGCGUGGUGUAGCGGUGAAAUGCAUAGAUAUCACGCAGAACCCCGAUUGCGAAGGCAGCCUUCCGGCGCCCUACUGACGCUGAGGCACGAAAGUGCGGGGAUCGAACAGG
rnacentral:rRNA from 1 species